GCAUGAGUGCAUAGCAGGAAUUACAAGCUUAUUUUCCAAAUUAAACCAAAAAAAAGAGAAAUACAUGAUUAUUUAUUCAAAGUGAUACUAAAAAAUACCUUCAAAUAGGGUAAUACACAGUUUAUUUAUCACUAAAUAGUUGCCAAAUAUGCUUGACUAGAUCCUUCUUAAGUUCAAGAUGUGGUCGAGCUUCAACGGCAGAAUUUCUGUGCAGUACAUCCGACAUCACUGAAGGGAAUGUUUCUGUGUAGUACAUCCGACAUCAGUGAAGGGAAUGUUACGACGGCUACAUGUGGAUGUAAAAAGAUGGAAGUCUUUGCAGCUGAACUUAAAUCUAAAGGAGUGAAAACCAUUUCUUUUUCAUCUUCAACUAUCAUGUUGUGAAGUAUAACACAAGCUUUCAUGAUUAUUGUGAUAUUACGACAGAACAUUUGUUUCCAUAGCCGCGUUGGACGGCGCACGAUAUUAAAUCGAGACUACAAUACACCAAAAGCUCUCUUAACAUCAUUCCUUGCUCCUCCUAAUACUUUGUAAAUAAUUUGUACUUUUCUGUUUGUGGGAGAGAUAUAGUCUUCACAAAAACUACCCAUUCAGGGUAAAUUCCGCUCGCAAGAUGUGGUGACUGAUUUAGCACAUUUAUAUCAUUGUUGGAUUAACAACCCUAAAAAAGACACGUCAUAUCCGUAAAUCUUGCGAAGCAAUAGACUCAAGAAUUAUAGUUGAGACACCAAUAUCACCGCAGGGGCCUCUCUAUUGAAUAGCGCAAUUGUCCCAUUGCUAAUACAUACAGACAAUGCUCCUAGUAAAUCCACAAGCCUCACCGACAUCAAAGUAAAUGCUCUACUUCAUCACAAGUGAGGUGUCGCAAAUACUCUCCUCCAAAAAUCUCUAUCACCCCUCAUGCAAACAUAUCCAAGCACUCUAAUGAUGUGCUUGCAGCUAUCUUUAGUACCUUAUCGAGUUCAUCAGCGGGAGUGUCAUAUGCUAGCAUACGGAUAGCUGUUGUACACUUUUGUAGCGUUGAAUGUUCUAGUUUACCUGUGGCAUCUACUCUAAGUGUGAAACAGGGACUCCACUCCUCUAGAGCACUAACUAUUCAUAACAAUAAGGCUUUUCUUGUUCGAAACCUUCUACAAAACAUUUCAUCGUUACAUAGAGGAUAUUUAGAAAAGUAGUUGCGUACCAAUUCUUUAUGAGCAACUUCAUGAUCCUUAUUUAUAUACCUUCUAGAACCACUCUGACGUUUAGAACUUUGACCUAGUAGAUUACUCUGCAACCUUGCACAUAUCCAUGCACCAAUUCUAUCAAAAACUUCUUCCUCGGCUAUGAAGCCUUUCAUUGUGUAGAUCUCAGCUGGGUCGAUAGUGUUGUCUUCAUUUCGUCUGAACAAGAUGAUGAUCUAUAAUUCAUGUCUUCAGAACAAGACAUUGUAGUAGACCAGAAUUGGUUUACUAGUUGGCACUAUUGAGAAUUAGAAGUGAG
rnacentral:lncRNA from 1 species